rnacentral:tRNA from 1 species
GAGGGCGUAGUUAAAUGGUAUAACAAAGGUCUCCAAAACCUUAAUUGGAAGUUCGAUUCUUCUCGCCUUUG